rnacentral:lncRNA from 1 species
UUAAAUUUCUAUUUAGAAACUUCAGUCACCAGUGAAGGGUGUCCACAGAAAUCAUAUCUAGGUCCUGGAAUCUUCCUCUUUCUUCAUUUACUUCUUGUCUCUUCCCAGGGUAGCCAGGACCUGUGGACUGAAGAGCAAAACAACUUUCAGGGGUACAUUCACCUUAACACGUGGCCCUGAAUAUUUGUCUCUUUAUUUGGUUCUCUCAAACCAAGGAAACACAAGACCCUCAAUGUAGGCCAAAUGCCUUUCUUCGGUGAAGUGUGGAAGUAACAUGAAGAUGAAAGGGGAGGUCACAAAGGAGAAUCCACAUAGCAUCAUGCCUAAGCAGUUCAAGAGCAUGGGUUGUUGUGGAAAGCCAGAGGAUUAGAAAACUCAUUGUGGAGGAGGUACUCGGACCUGAAACUUUUAGGAAAUGUUAACGUUCAUCAAGUCUGUUCCAGCCAAAGUUUGAGCUCAACACACACACACACACACACACACACACACACACACACACACACACACACACACAAAACCAGCCAGGGCUCUUGUGAAAAGACUUCGGCUUUCACUUGUCUCUAGACAAAAGACCACCACCCCGCCAGAUAAAAUAGGAAAACCUGGAAUAGACACACACGUACACUGGAUUCCCUUAAUGAUUCAUCAAUCACUAAGCCUCAGAUUAAUCCAGAAUGUGAAACAGAAGUCACAUUCGUUGACAAAAGCCACCCCAUCGAUUCUCAAUCACUGAGCCCCACUGGGGAGUGACCCGCGAGGACCACAAUCCCUGACCUCAGUACUCUUGGUCGUUGAUCUAUUCAGGCCUUUAAUCACUGACCACCAGAGCCUCCAUGAGGGACCCCAAAGAUAUCCUAUCACAGACACCCACCAGGGACUCCUACCAGCUCCCCUCCAAAAGGAAACACCCGCCCCCGCCUCCCCCAACCCCCGCGCUACCUCCACCAUAUAGCGCCACCAACAACGCAGACGCCCUCAGAAAGCUCCCUCCCACCACGUUUCCACGCCCUGACCCACACACUGACCUGACUCUCCUUGGAAUCGCCGCGACCUCUUAAAAGCUGAACUUACUUCCCUAAACUUCUUCCACUUCUGGGCCCCUCGCCCAACUCCCUCCCCCUCUAAACCUCCAGAGACGGUCAGCCGCGUUUCCAUGGAGAGCGGAAUGCGGCCUUCCGGCUUUUCCUCAGGAGGAGACGCGUCCGCGCCGGCGUCGCCUCGCCGCUCUGGGGGCGGCCAUCUUUGAGUACGUGACGUACAGAAGGCACAGCGGCCGGGAGACGCGGUGGACGGAGGCCUCUUAAACUGUCCGAUUUCCAGACACCUCAGCCCUGGCAGAAAAUGGAGAGCUUAUCAGAGGCUUGAGUUCACACAGGCAGACACGGCGUGGGGGUAAAGUCCUCUGAACAGACACGGAACAGAAAUAAGUUAGUCUUCUCCUCGCAGGGGACAGUGAACGGCGCAAACUUCUCAAAGGCCAGAACCCAUUAUUACCACAAAGGCGCGGCAUCCCUUCUUAGCGGUUAUGAUGGCUGUGACGUCUCAGCUCAAUGGAAAAUUAAAGUCACCUCUGGGCACCUCAGUCACUAUUGUAAAUGCGAAGCGUUUUAGAAGCCGUAUAAAAACUGAAGCAAGAGAGACUAGAACAAAAAAUAAGCGAGCGGUGCGUUGCAGGUAACGGAGCCAGAGCCCUUAGGGGAGAGCAUCAUGGGGGCGGCCAUCUUAGGGGACGUUCGGUGUCCGUACGGCAGAACAUAUUCUCUCUGAGAAGCUUGCGGUGGAACUGGCCCAUGGAAAUGUCUUUAGAAGAGAAGAACCACCUGGCUCUGUUCUUGACUCUGGAAAAGAAUCCUUUUCUAGAAUUAUUUAGGUUGUUGCCAGAUUAAUUUCCUUUAGAGAGUUUCCUUGCCCCCACGACUUCCUAUCUUUAAAGCCAACAAUAGUAUGUGAAAUCCCUUUCAUAUUUGAAACCACUGACUAUUGCUGCUGCAUCUCUCCGGUUUCUCCUAUUCUUAAGUGCUUGGGCAAUCCAGAAUAAUCUCCCAAUGCUAAAGUCAGCUGAUUAAUAAACUUAAUUACAAUGCAGAGUCCUUUUUGCCAUGUAACAUAACCAUGGGAAUUACUCUGGGGUUGUAGAUCUGGCUAUGAUAUGA